ACAAGGAAGCUGCCACACCUACCUCGCAAGAGAGCAGUCAGUCCUUUGACCUGUGAUGAGAAAAAUGAAAACAAAUUAUGUUUUUAAACAGAGGGGAAAAUUUUUGCAGGAGAAAAAGGCAUGUGAAAAAAUUUGAAAGGGAACUGGAAGAAACUACAGUAUUAUGGGAGGGAGAAGACACACAGUGGCUGAUUCCCCUCUAGAUCAGUCAUUUUUAUCAAGAAGAUAAGCAGCAAAUUAGUCUUCUGGAGGAGAUCAUGCUUGGCCUGGAGCUUGGUGAUGAGAUUCCUCCCUUCCAGAUAUUCCUUCAAUUUCUAAAAGAA